AGGACGAACGCUGGCGGCGUGCCUAACACAUGCAAGUCGAACGGUGAACCGGGCUUCGGCCCGGGGAUCAGUGGCGAACGGGUGCGUAACACGUGGGCAACCUGCCCCCGACUCUGGGAUAACCCCGGGAAACCGGAGCUAAUACCGGAUACUCCGACCGAGCCUCAUGGCUUGGCCGGCAAAGGUCCGCCGGUCGGGGAUGGGCCCGCGGCCUAUCAGCUUGUUGGUGGGGUAACGGCCUACCAAGGCUUCGACGGGUAGCUGGUCUGAGAGGACGACCAGCCACACUGGGACUGAGACACGGCCCAGACUCCUGCGGGAGGCAGCAGUGGGGAAUCUUGCGCAAUGGGCGAAAGCCUGACGCAGCAACGCCGCGUGGGGGAUGAAGGCUCUCGGGUUGUAAACCCCUGUUGCCCGGGACGAACUUCUGCUUUCGAGCAGAUUGACGGUACCGGGUGAGGAAGCACCGGCUAACUCUGUGCCAGCAGCCGC
rnacentral:rRNA from 1 species